GAUGAACGCUGGCGGCGUGCCUAAUACAUGCAAGUCGAGCGAAUUGACAGAGGUGCUUGCACCUCUCGAUUUUAGCGGCGGACGGGUGAGUAACACGUGGGUAACCUACCUAUAAGACUGGGAUAACUUCGGGAAACCGGAGCUAAUACCGGAUAAUAUUUAGCUUCGCAUGAAGCAAUAGUGAAAGACGGUUCUGCUGUCACUUAUAGAUGGACCUGCGGUGUAUUAGCUAGUUGGUGAGGUAACGGCUCACCAAGGCAACGAUACAUAGCCGACCUGAGAGGGUGAUCGGCCACACUGGGACUGAGACACGGCCCAGACUCCUACGGGAGGCAGCAGUAGGGAAUCUUCCGCAAUGGACGAAAGUCUGACGGAGCAACGCCGCGUGAGUGAAGAAGGUUUUCGGAUCGUAAAACUCUGUGUAAGGGAAGAACAAGUACGUUAGUAACUGAACGUACCUGACGG
rnacentral:rRNA from 1 species